GUUACUAACAUGCUCAUCACCGUCCUUUGUCUGUCUCUUCUUUUAAACUCAGGUCUCACUGUUGUAGUUCUGCAGUCUGGGGAUCAAGUGUCUCACCCAGGAGCCACAGUGAUGAUGGAGUGCAGCAUGGGUCCAGGGUUCAGCAUGGGCAGCUACACCAUGUACUGGUACCGACAAAACCACCAUGGAGCUCCAGUUGAGUUCCUCACCAAAGAAUACGACCAAACUGUGGGGCGCUUUCAGUCAUCUCUUGAUACAGCCAAGAACAACUUCUCUCUUCAAAUUACUGAGCUGCCAAAUGACAGCAGCACCUACUACUGUGCUGCCAGUCACAGUGAUGAAAACAGACCAGACAUUCAUACAAAUAACAAGCCUGUCUGUACCAGAUG